GAUGAACGCUAGCUACAGGCUUAACACAUGCAAGUCGAGGGGAAACGACAUCGAAAGCUUGCUUUUGAUGGGCGUCGACCGGCGCACGGGUGAGUAACGCGUAUCCAACCUGCCCAUCACUUGGGAAUAACCUUGCGAAAGUAAGACUAAUACCCAAUGAUAUCCCACGAAGGCAUCGGAAUGGGAUUAAAGAUUUAUCGGUGAUGGAUGGGGAUGCGUCUGAUUAGCUUGUUGGCGGGGUAACGGCCCACCAAGGCAACGAUCAGUAGGGGUUCUGAGAGGAAGGUCCCCCACAUUGGAACUGAGACACGGUCCAAACUCCUACGGGAGGCAGCAGUGAGGAAUAUUGGUCAAUGGGCGAGAGCCUGAACCAGCCAAGUAGCGUGCAGGAUGACGGCCCUAUGGGUUGUAAACUGCUUUUAUAAGGGAAUAAAGUGGGUCUCGUGAGACUUUUUGCGUGUACCUUAUGAAUAAGGACCGGCUAAUUCCGUG
rnacentral:rRNA from 1 species